rnacentral:tRNA from 2 species
GGAGAGAUGUCCGAGUUGGCCGAAGGAGCACGAUUGGAAAUCGUGUAGGCGGCUUAUCCCCGUCUCGAGGGUUCGAAUCCCUCUCUCUCCGCCA